AUUUUGAUUGAAGCUUCUAAUGUGCUGUCAAUAUGAAGUAUUAUUGCUACAAGAAAGUAAGCAUGAGUUCCCAUAUGUUAAUGCUAAAUACCGAAUCUUUUGUCUUCAUUGUAAGCACGAUAUUACUCUUGAUAAAGCAAGAAGCUAAAACUUGUGUAUAUGUUUCCUAACACAACAUUACGAAGUAAAUUUGACUCACUCCCCACAAGGAUGCACGCAACAGCUCAGUCGUGAUAUGUUAGUGCUGCUCAUCCCUUUCUUUGUGUGUGUGUGUGUGAUUGUGUGUUGACCGUAUGCAUACACGCAGCCUUUUUUCCCCAUGAUUUCAGGUGCAUCUGCGAGUUCUAGGCCCCCGUUCGGAAGAGCGGAUGGAUCCGAGACCGAAAGUGUGCCACGGAGACUUCAUGCUGGACAGUCACCUUGCAUGCUGCCACAGUGUUAUUUCUUUUUGGAGCUUGCAAUGAGGGUGAUAAUGCAUGAUGUCACUCUCUCAAUUUCAGGCCCAUCUCCCAGUUACUCAGGAUUACGAACGGAUACGCAACUGCUUGGUAUGAUGCCGAUGUUUUACCUCUCAUGUUUGCUUUGAAUGGCGUGUUUGGUACAUCUUGUCAAUCACAUGAAUUUUGAGCAGCGUGACACAUAUAAGAGGCAUAGGAUGAAAUGCCGCGUGGGCUUGUUUGUGUCCUGUGGCCCUGUUCAACAUUCUGCAGUUUGUAAUGAGCGACUUCUUGCCAGCAUGAUUCUUUACUUUUUCAAGACGCAUGCAAUGCUAAAAGACGCAGCAUGGUGGGCUUGGACAUGACUCGUAAAUGAAAUUAUGAGGCGCUGCUCACUUUCAAUAGUUUUGUAUGAGCAUCGCAGAUAUGUUGACAUAACUGAUCUUGAUGUGAAAAAUGUUCCUUCUGCCUUUAUGGAGACGAUGUUGUCCACCCUUAAUACAAUUAAGGUUGUACAACAGACGCACACACAGCUCUCGACAGAAAUUAGGACUAAUGCUGAAGAAGUAUGCCCAGAGAGCCAAAAACCUUCCUGAUCUGCCAUUUUUUACCACAAAAGACAUGGUUGAUUGGGAUUCUAAACUCGGGGUCAACAAGGAAGCAAAGCUUCGAAUG
rnacentral:lncRNA from 1 species